rnacentral:rRNA from 1 species
CGGCGGAUGGGUGAGUAUCACGUGGGCAACCUGCCUGUAAGCUCGGGAUAACUCGCGGAAACGCGGGCUAAUACCGAAUGACCCUUGCAUCCGCAUGGAUGCAAGAUAAAAGGCGGCUUUUGCUGUCACUUACAGAUGGGCCCGCGGCGCAUUAGCUAGUUGGUGGGGUAAUGGCUCACCAAAGCGACGAUGCGUAGCCGACCUGAGAGGGUGAUCGACCACACUGGGACUGAGACACGGCCCAGACUCCUACGGGAGGCAGCAGUAGGGAAUCUUCCGCAAUGGACGAAAGUCUGACGGAGCAACGCCGCGUGAGUGACGAAGGUCUUCGGAUCGUAAAACUCUGUUGUCAGGGAGAACAAGCAUCGGCUGAAUAAGCCGGCGCCUUGACGGUACCUGACCAGAAAGCCCCGGCUAACUACGUGCCAGCAGCCGCGGUAAUACGUAGGGGGCAAGCGUUGUCCGGAUUUAUUGGGCGUAAA